GAUGAACGCUGGCGGCGUGCCUAAUACAUGCAAGUCGAGCGAACAGACGAGGAGCUUGCUCCUCUGACGUUAGCGGCGGACGGGUGAGUAACACGUGGAUAACCUACCUAUAAGACUGGGAUAACUUCGGGAAACCGGAGCUAAUGCCGGAUAACAUGUUGAACCGCAUGGUUCAACAGUGAAAGACGGUUUUGCUGUCACUUAUAGAUGGAUCCGCGCCGCAUUAGCUAGUUGGUAAGGUAACGGCUUACCAAGGCAACGAUGCGUAGCCGACCUGAGAGGGUGAUCGGCCAAACUGGAACUGGGACACGGUCCAGACCCCUACGGGAGGCAGCAGUAGGGAAGCUGCCGCAAGGGGCGAAAGCCUGACGGAGCAACGCCGCGUGAGUGAAGAAGGUCUCCGGAUCGUAAAACUCUGUGAUUAGGGAAGAACAAAUGUGUAAGUAACUAUGCACGUCUUGACGGUACCUAAUCAGAAAGCCACGGCUAAGUACGUG
rnacentral:rRNA from 1 species